GUCCAGAUGAACUUCGGAGGUUGGGGCGAAGGCUUCAGACCAGUAGCCGCUUAGAAACGGAGUGGCUCAAUUUCACCUUCAGGACG